UUGAAUAGUUCGUGGUGCUGUGCUGGCCUCUCGGGGCAUGUGCACGCAUUGCAUCUAUUAUCCACCUUCAUGUGAACCAGUGUAGGCUUUGUCGUUCGUAGGUAGUCUGGUGUAAAAGCCGGGCUGAAGCGAGCUUCGGAGUCUAUGAUUUUAUACACCUUUUUGUAUGUUUUUGAAUGUCACUUUAUUGACUGCAAAGUCAGUAAAAACCUAUA
rnacentral:misc_RNA from 1 species